AGUCCACGCCGUAAACGAUGUCUACUUGGAGGUUGUGCCCUUGAGGCGUGGCUUCCGGAGCUAACGCGUUAAGUAGACCGCCUGGGGAGUACGGCCGCAAGGUUAAAACUCAAAUGAAUUGACGGGGGCCCGCACAAGCGGUGGAGCAUGUGGUUUAAUUCGAUGCAACGCGAAGAACCUUACCUGGUCUUGACAUCCACAGAACUUUCCAGAGAUGGACUGGUGCCUUCGGGAACUGUGAGACAGGUGCUGCAUGGCUGUCGUCAGCUCGUGUUGUGAAAUGUUGGGUUAAGUCCCGCAACGAGCGCAACCCUUAUCCUUUGUUGCCAGCGGUCCGGCCGGGAACUCAAAGGAGACUGCCAGUGAUAAACUGGAGGAAGGUGGGGAUGACGUCAAGUCAUCAUGGCCCUUACGACCAGGGCUACACACGUGCUACAAUGGCGCAUACAAAGAGAAGCGACCUCGCGAGAGCAAGCGGACCUCAUAAAGUGCGUCGUAGUCCGGAUUGGAGUCUGCAACUCGACUCCAUGAAGUCGGAAUCGCUAGUAAUCGUGGAUCAGAAUGCCACGGUGAAUACGUUCCCGGGCCUUGUACACACCGCCCGUCACACCAUGGGAGUGGGUUGCAAAAGAAGUAGGUAGCUUAACCUUCGGGAGGGCGCUUACCACUUUGUGAUUCAUGACUGGGGUGAAGUCGUAACAAGGUAACCGUAGGGGAACCUGCGGUUGGAUCACCUCCUUACCUUAAAGAAGC
rnacentral:rRNA from 1 species